ACCUCAGAAGGUUUUUAUUUUAAAAUUUUAAACGUAAAGAAUGACUUUUAAAAAUAAGAUGACAGUCCAUAAUGUGGACAUGUCCAAAGCCGAAGUUUUUAAUCUCUUCUUUAACAGUUAAAAUACAAGUUAGAAAGUUUGCUGGCAGUUUAUUUCACAGGAAUAUAUCAGAUGGACAUCAUCUCUCAAUGCACUCCCAACUCACAGCAAUGAAGGGAACAGGCACACAGAAAUACAACAGACAGGGAAUCCACCAGACUUCAUCCAAACUUCAGGGGUGUCUAGGCCAAAAGCGCCUUUAAGAGAUGCUGGUUUGUUAUUGGAUAAAGGCCGAGAUGACAGAGCCACUGCUUCAUCACACUGACUCACAUUUUGGUUUGCAAUCCACUUUCCUCUCUCCUCAUUUCCACAUGGAGGAAAAAAAGUGAUUUUCCUUUCCUCCUCCCAGUAACAUUUCUGACUGAAGUGUUGGUCUAAGACUGCGAACAAUCAAUCCUGUCCAACAGGGGUGUUGCUGGGUGUCACCUACUAGGACCAGCCUACAGAGAGCCCAGAACCACCUGGUGUGGGAGUGCUGCUGCUGACAGAGAAUAUGCAAUGCUCCUCGCCACUGGUGUUAACACUAAAGGCUCUGCUAAAAUGGACUAAAUUACAUGAGUCAACAUCAUGUUUUCUGUUUUUGGCAUUUCAACCCAUAGAGAAUUUCUAUCUGAAACAAGCUGCUCUGAGGCUUGAAGAUACCCCCCAGUAUCUUCAAAAGCUGUUCUGCAGAAUCAGGAGUAACAUUUAAUACUGUUGUCAUCUAUAGCAUUCUUUGUUUCUACGUGAUUUGUCAAUGCCGAUACUAUAUCCUCUAAAAUCAAAAGUAUGCCAAAAGGCACUAAUCUUUCACACUUAAAAAAAAAAAAAAGGUUUUGUGGUCCCUGUGUUUCCUUACAUUAUCAAAAAUAUCAUUUGGCAAAAGCAGUCCUUAGUUUUCCCCUCCCCAAAGCCAACCCUAGUGAUGGCCCUCACUUUCUUGCUUGUUUCUUUAGGGGGCCUGAGGACUGACUAUGUUAGAUCUCUAUAUUAUUGAAGCUGAACAACUGAUUACAUUUCUAAAACUCUUUCUACCCAGGACUUUUAAAACACUAGGUGAAGAAGAAUAAGGCAUAUUAGUAGGUACGGACAAAUUCUCAAAAAAGUAGAGUUGGGCUUUGAAAAGUCUGUGGCAUUUUUUUAAAUUCUGGAUUUGUUGAUUUUCAAGUGCUAAAUACACAGAAUGUUUAUAUAGGAGACAAAUAUCUUAUUGGUUUGUUAUUUUUUUAAAGCACUUAUUUACAGACUCUCUGUAGUAGUAAAAACUACCUGGAAAACAUAUUUUUCUGCCACACAGAAAGGGUUAGACAGUCAUACUCAGGAUGUAUCUCAAAUUAUGAUGAAGAAAGAACAGUCUAAUCCCCUGCAACAAAGCCCCCACCCCAACCUUUCUAACACAGACAACUUACACACACUCUGAUACAUGUAACUGUGAGACCAGGCAUCUCUCAAACAAAAAGCUGACAAUCUACAGGGUGGGUUGGUGAAAAAAUGGAUUCCUGGUUUAUUCACUGAAUUGAAAAGAUCACAAGGCAGAACAAGGCCGAAGAGAACAAUUCCAACACACCCAACGCAAGCUGUGAGGCUGGCCCAGGAGAGAACAUUCACACUGCAUUGACAAAUUUCGACUGUAUCAUAACAACAUGACAUACCAGCCCUCUCACCAAAAGCUCGCCCAGACAUUCAGAGGACACAGGAGGAAAUAUUAAAGUAGGUAUUUUUGGUGAGGUAAAGGCAAAUUGCACAAAGCUGACACUGGGGGUGGAGCUUGGUAUAUGCCCACUGAUCUCAACAAUGGGGAGCUACUCUGACUUCAAGACAAUAGAUAUUCCCUAACAGGUCUAAUCCCUGCUCUGAUGACAGUGAACAAGCAAAACACUGAAGACCU
rnacentral:lncRNA from 1 species